rnacentral:lncRNA from 1 species
UGGAAGAAAUAGUAUUGUUGCUAAUUUUCUUAAGAAUUGUUUAGAUUGUUUUAGCAAUUAAGUGAUAUUGUUGCAUUAGCUGAACUUGAGAUAGAUGAUGAAAAUGAUAAAUAGCCCAAUUGAUGGAAACUCAAAGGUGUAUGUUGGAAUUUAGCUAACCCUAAAGAGGGCAAGACAAAACAAAAGUAAGAAUUAGAAGAAGUAAAGAAUAAGCAUAAGGAGG